UCGCUUAGCUGUGAUGAAAUCGUCACCUACCUCCUUGCUGGUCUCGGUCAUGAUUAUGAUCCUUUUGUUACAACAAUUUCUGCUCGCAAAGAUCCUGUUACGCUGGAAGAAGUCUACUCUCUUCUUUUAACUACAGAGU